GGGGGGGGGGGGGGGGGGGGGGGGGAGGUGGAGGGCGGGCGAAGAGGCGGGGAGCGUGCUCCUCUGACGUUAGCGGCGGGCGGGGGGGUAACACGGGGAUAACCUACCUAUAGGACUGGGAUAACGUCGGGGAAACGGAGCUAAUACCGGAUAAUGUAUUGAACCGCAGGGUUCAAUAGUGAAAGACGGUUUGGCUUUCACUGAUAGAUGGCUCCGCGCCGCAUUAGCUAGUUGGUAAGGUAACGGAUUACCAAGGCAACGAUGCGUAGCCGACCUGAGAGGGUGAUCGGCCACACGUGAACGGAGACACGGUCCAGACUCCUACGGGAGGCAGCAGUAGGGAAUCUUCCGCAAUGGGCGAAAGCCUGACGGAGCAACGCCGCGUGAGUGAUGAAGGUCUUCGGAUCGUAAAACUCUGUUAUUAGGGAAGAACAAAUGUGUAAGUAACUAUGCACGUCUUGACGGGACCUAAUCAGAAAGCCACGGCUAACUACGUG
rnacentral:rRNA from 1 species